CCUACGGGAGGCAGCAGUGAGGAAUAUUGGUCAAUGGGCGCGAGCCUGAACCAGCCAAGUCGCGUGAGGGAAGACGGCCCUAUGGAUUGUAAACCUCUUUUGUCGGGGAGCAACAGACGCCACGCGUGGCGUUACGAGAGUACCCGAAGAAAAAGCAACGGCUAACCCCGUGCCAGCCGCCGCGGUAAUAAGGAGGAUGCGAGCGUUAUCCGGAUUUAGUGGGUUUAAAGGGUGCGCAGGGGGAAUUUCAAGUCAGCGGUAAAAUUGAGGGGCUCAACCUCUCCGAGCCGUUGAAACUGGUUUUCUUGAGUGAGUGAGAAGUAUGCGGAAUGCGUGGUGUAGCGGUGAAAUGCAUAGAUAUCACGCAGAACUCCGAUUGCGAAGGCAGCAUACCGGCGCUCAACUGACGCUCAUGCACGAAAGUGUGGGUAUCGAACAGGAUUAGAUACCCGGGUAGUC
rnacentral:rRNA from 1 species